UUUUUUUUUUUGGCCUUUGGUCUCUUUGUCUUUUUUUUUUAGGCCCGCGCCCACAGCACAUGGAGGUUCCCAGACUAGGGGUCGAAUGGGAGCUAUAGCCGCUGGCUUAUGCCACAGCCACAGCCAUGCCAGAUCCAAGCUGUGCCUGCAACCUACACCACAGCUCACGGCAACGGCAGAUCCUUAACCCACUGAGCGAGGCCAGGGAUCGAACCUGCUACCUCAUGGUUCAUUCCACGACGGGAACUCCUGCCAGCCUAACAUUCUAGAGCCAGACACCAGCACUGCCUUAGCGAGAGUGACAGCACAGGUUCCUGCAGUGGGGCGAUCUUGUCAGGCUGGCAGAGUGACAGAAUCAGCACCAGAGUGGAGACCACCAGAAACUCCAGGAGCAGAAAACAGGGGCAAGGCAGUGCAACGAAGCCCGACUGCCUGGACCUGGCAGACAGGAAGUCCAAUUCAAGCCUUUUUACCCACAAUCCCAUGGACUUCAGGUGGUCUCGCUACAGCCAAGUGGAGGAGGUCACAGAGUCCUUAUUUGAGCUUUCUUCCAACCUUGUCACAGAGGAAUAGGUCCAAUCAGGACCAGCCGAUGCCUUGGCUGGUCAGUGUCUAGGAGGCAGCGUAUGGAAAACUGAAAUUUGAGACAGCUUCAAGCCAAGGAUGGGCUAUGGGCAAGAAGUGAAUGGCCAACACAUACCAAGUAGUUGCCAUGCUGCCAUCUUCAGGAAGGAGUUAGCAAGAUGGGCUCUGGAGUUAGCCAGAUCUGGGUGGGAAUCCCCUCACCUUUGGGUAAGCUAUUUAACCCUUCCAAGCCUCAGUUUUGUCAUCUGGAAAAUGAGGCACCACCCCCUCUUAGAGACCAGGUACAUUAUAGACUUACUGGGUAUAUAAAGCCUUGAGCCUGGUACCUGAACAUAGUUAAGCCUUUAACACAUAGUAAACCUUUUCUUUUCUUUUCUUUUUGCACCUGCACCUGCGGCAUAUGGAAGUUCCCAGGCCAGGGGUCAAAUCAGAGCUGCAGGUGCCAGCCUACGACACAGCUGUGGCAACACGGGAUCCAAGCCACGUCAGCAACCUACGCCAUAGCUUGCGGCAAUGCCAGAUCCUUAACACGCUGAGUGAGGCCAGGGAUUGAACUCACAUCCUCACAGAGACAAUGUCGGGUCCUUCACGCACUGAGUCAUAACAGGAACUCCACAUGUUACCUAAUCAUAUUUUUAUCCUUAACACACGGCUUAUUCCCUGCGAUCUCUACCAACACAGGCUGGACCUGAUUCAAGGUCAGUCUCCCUUAUGUACGUGCACAGAUGACCCAAAGAAGGAUUCGUUCUAGCUUUGGAAGGCACUGAUGUUUUCAUUUAAGGAAGGAACAGAUUUUCUUUCUUAAGGAUUUUAGGCUUGGGCUCACAUUUAAAUAUUUUGCAUUUCCUGGGCCAGCCAUGUCGGAAGACAGGGUCCUAGAAACGUACUCAGUGGCUGAAGCCGUCUAGCAGAUGAUGAGAAAUGGUCUCAGGAUAAUCCCCAAGUGGAAAGACCAUGGGCCAUUUCAACUCACCAGGUGCAAAGACUUAGGACAACAAGUCACGUACAUGGACAUGACUCAUCAGAGCAGAAUCCUCUCUUCAAAGCAGAGUAUGACCUGGUGGUUCUUGGUAGAUUGAGUCAAGUGCCUUUCCCAUUCACUCGCCUUACCUUCACUAUUCCACCCAUACCACGCGUCCACAUUAGAGAGUUGCCAAAUUCUCACUUUGCUUCCCCUGAGCACGUCCUGCUCGCUGAAAGCCAUCAGCAAGCGGCACACGCGAGCUUAGCCAAGCUCCAACACAGUUUUUAUCUUUCUUGCAGCCAUGAGUGCUAAAAUCUUCCAUAAAGUUUUACGUUGUGCUAUUUAAAGAUGGUUUACCUUAGGUUAAGGCUUUGUCAGGAGAGAAGGAAUACACCUCCCAUUCCACAGGAGUCAAACCUUCAUAAAUAUUUCUGGAUAAAUCACAGAGAGCUUGACAGGAGUGCAAAGGAAAAGGAGAAACAUUCACCAAGCAAUUUGAAACAAACAAACAAAAACAGGGAGGUGUAAGCGGGAGGAUAAGGACGGGGUGUGAAGGACAAAUCCCCUUUUCUGAUCCAAAGAAAAUUAAAACUUAUUAGGGAUGAAGUUCCCAUUGUGGCUCAGUGGUUAACAAAUCCACCUAGGAACCAUGAGGAACUCCUAGGCAAUAUAUUUUUGAAGCAAGCAGGUAAAUGUGAAUAUGAACUAGAUCCCUAGGAAAGAUGACACAAUCGUUGUUGUUAUGACAGUGGGUGGCACUGUUACAAUUAAACACCAGAAGUUACAUUAGCAUGUAAGCAAAAACUGGUUUUUUAAAGGAUGCAUACUGAAGGAUUUAGGGAUAAAAUAUGAUGUCUGGGAUUUGCUUUAACCUAUUUCAGUCAAACAAAAAGAGGUAUCAAUGAAGAAAGCCUCAAAACGGUGGUAACUGUUGAAUCUGCAUGUGGAUAUACCUUUGUUCAUUACAAAAGUUCUCUAGGCCUUUUUUUGUUUGUUCGUUUGUUUUUUAGGGCCUCACCAGCCUGUAUCUGGAGAUUCCCAGGCUAGGGGUCAAAUCAGAGCUACAGCCGCCAGCCUACACCACAGCCACAGCAACUCCAGAUACGAGCCGCAUCUGCAACCUAUAGCACAGCUCCAGAUACGAGCCGCAUCUGCAAUCUAUAACACAGCUCAUAGCAACGCCGGAUCCUCAACCCACUGAGCGAGGCCAGGGAUCAAACGUGCAUCCUCAUGGAUGCUAGUCAGAUUCAUGUGCACUGAGCCACAAUGAGAAUUCCUCUACUCUUUUUAAUGUUUGAAAAGUUUUCAUAAAUUUUUUAAAUAUUUCAUAAGGUAUAUAUCUCUGAGCUUGCCUCCUGAAAGCUCACCAAGCUUUCAAGCUGUUCCUCUUCAAGACCCUUUGUAACUUUUCCUUUUUAUGGAUGCACCUGCAGCACAUGGAGGUUCCGGGCUAGGGGUCCAAUCAGAACUGCAGCUGCCAGACUAUACUACAGCCACAGCAAUCCCAGAUCCGAGCCACAUCUCCGACCUUACACCGCAGCAGUGACAAUGCCAAAUCCUUAACCUCUCGGCCACCAAAGAAUUCUGAGAAGGUACUUAAAUAUUUAAAUGGAUAAACUGAACUUUUCUUCUUAAAAGCCUUUUACCAAGGCUAAGCAGAAAACUACCACUUAAUGAGCAGCUUACAUCUAUUAUUUAAUCUUCGUGAUAAUCCUAUGAGGGCAGGGAGUACUGUGUUACAAUUAAAAUCCUAGGUUUCUUUAACCUCUACACCCAAGAUGACACACACCUGGCAGACAUGCUUCCAGCCUGUUUCUGGGCCCAGGACAGACAUCACCAAUAGAUCCCCAAAUUCUUUCCACUGAGUCUGAAUUCAACACAGGGCUGCAGGCAGUGAUCGUCACUUGAUUAGGUUUUGGUCCAUGAAGUGAUAUUUACCUGCCACUCCCACACUAGGUCUUGCUAUUAAAAAGCCAGUAUCAGUGUGACAGAACCACCUCUCCAGUAGUUCUGGGGUCCAUUCUUGCCUCUUCAGGAAAUGCAACAUCUAAGGUUCCAAAUAAGCCUUGGCCUUGGUGAGCGAUACUGCCAGACCACUGGAUCAGCCUCCAGAAGGUUUCUAAAUAGCAGAGCCCAGCUGCCAAAGUCCUCAGAGGCUUGGCAUGCAAGGAAGGGCUCCCCUGUGGGGACCGCUGGCUGUCCCUGUCAGUUACAGAUCAGAAUUUCCAGCUCAGCUACUCUUCAGCUUCCCACACCCUCCUGGCAAGAAGGCACACGGAGGCACAAGGACCACAGGCAGGAGUCAGGAGGCCUUUGUCCAGCCCGGCUCUGCCUCUCCUGGCAGACCUCUCCUGGCGCACCCACGGGCAGCCUGCCUCGCUGCCUCCCACCUCAGAUUCUGUAUCUGAAAGGUGCACUGCUUGAGCCAUUUUUAGAAUCCCUUUCAGAUGCAAGGUUAGAUGCUCCAUUUUCAGAGCUUUGGAAUUAUGUGCAUAACCCCCAGGGCACAGAGGAGGUCUCCUAUCAAUGUUUAUAAGAGGGUGGGGAAGAGGACCAGUUUGGAAACAAAGGAGCAUCUUAAGUGGACCAUCAAUGGGCUCCAGCAGAAGAAGGUCUGAAGGUGGUAGAGCGUACCAGGUCCUCAAGACACAUUAGGAGUUCAUAAACCUUCCACUAUGUUCUUCCCGCAUUGAGGCCUUCUGAUAAUGGGAUCAAAUCCAUGGGUCCAAAGUCUGCUGUUUAUUGCCCAGGUGACCUGGAACAAGGAAACUCUCAGUGUUCGUUUCCUCAUUUAUAAGAGGAAAAUAAUUAUAGCAUCUACUGUGUAGAGUGGUUGGAAUAGUAACAUCAUGCCUUAAGGAACUUAGAGCAGUGCAUGACAGUACAUGCUCAAAGUUAGCUAUUACUAUUGAUGAAGUAAAAUUCAUAUUUAUGGCAAGACAAGAAAAAUUAAAACAUACCAUUUUUCCUUGCCUAUUUGGGCCUCCCUCCUCCCUUUUAUGGUACAUCUGCACUAACCAGACUUCCUCAGGAGAUAAUCUUCCCUCUUAAUCUCAUCCAGGGCCACAACUCCUCAAGAGAUAACCUUCCUUCUCAAUCUUCUAAGAGGCCAUGACCCACUACCCUUCGUACAUGUAGAUUCUGUAGACCAUCAAUAAUAUGUCAUUGAAUGUACAGACUCCUGUCUCAAAAACUUAGAAAACUGUGCUUCCACCUCUAAUGGGAAGAACAGUUCUGAGAGCUUUCUGAAGGGCUAUUCCAGGGUUAUGAUCCUCAGUGUGGCUCAAAUAAAAUUUUCCGUUUCUUGGAGUUCCCGUGGUGGCACAGUGGUUAACGAAUCCGACUAGGAACCAUGAGGUUGCGGGUUCGGUCCCUGGCUUUGCUCAGUGGGUUGAGGAUCCGGCGUUCCCAUAAGCUGUGGUGUAGGUCACAGAUGCGGCUCAGAUCCCGCGUUGCUGUGGCUGUGGUGUGGGCUGGUGGCUACAGCUCCGAUUAGAUCCCUAGCCUGGGAACCUCCAUGUGCCGUGGGAGCGGCCCUACAAAAGACCAAAAAAAAAAAAAAAAAAAAUUUCCAUUUCUUUCUUGGAUUGACUGAUUAAUUUUUCAUUGAUAGUAUUAAUACUCUUAUACUAGUCCAACUACAAACUGGAUUAUCCAACCCAGAAGGGAGAUUCUGCCACCUGGUAGAUGCUGGAUAAAUGUUACUAAGUGAAUGAAUGAAUGAGGUAAAAAACCACUCCUCAUUCCUCCCAGAACUUCCUCCUUUCUCUGUGCUGACUGAUGGGUUAGGAUGGUUUCCUCCAAAACUAGAUUUUACACAGAGGGACCCACAUGGUUGGGAGCAAUUCUCAUCGCACUUGAGGUAAGAAAAUAUCAAUUCCAAGUGGAUUGUGAAACCAUACUUUUUAAACUUUAGAGCACCUACUUAAAAAACCUAGCAAUUCCCUGGUGGCCUAGUGGUUAAGGAUUCAGUGUUGUUACUGUUGUGGCUCAGGUUCCAUCCCUGACCUGGGAACUUCUGCAUGCCACAGGUGUGGUCAAAAAUAAAACAAAACGAAACAAAACAACCCCCCCCCAAAAAAAAAACCUACACAAUAAAAUAUAGUCAAAAAAUACAACUAAUUUGGGAAUACCCAUCAUGUCUCAGCAGAAAUGAAUCCAACUAGCAUCCAUGAGGAUGGGGGUUCAAUCCCUGGCCUCACUCAGUGGAUUAAGGAUCCAGCUCUAUUGUGAGCUCUGGUGUAGGUUGCAGACGUGGCUUGGAUCCCGCACUGCUGUGGCUGUGGCAUAGGCUGGGAACUUGCAUAUGCCACGGGUAUGGCCCUAAAAAAGCAAAACAAAAACAAAAACAAUAACAAUAACAACUAAUUUAAAAGCAAGGAAUGAAGAAAGAGAGGAAAAAAGAGGAAACAAACCAACAAACAAAAAAUGGUAGUACCCAGGUCCAAAUAUAUCAAUAAUUACAUUAAAUGUAAAUGGUCUAAACACACCAAUUAAAAACAGAGACUGUGAAAGUAGAUAAAAUACAAUACUAUGCUGUUUAUCAGAAACUCACCUGGUGUAUAUAUAAACCAGUUAAAAUUAAAUGUAUGGAAAAAUACACUAGGCAAACAUGUUAUCAAGAGGAAACUGGAGUGGCUACCAUUACGAUCAGAUAAAGCAGACUUCAGAGCAAAGACAAUUAUUAGGGGCAAAGGGGGCAUUACAAUGCUAGCUUUUAUAUAAAGCAUCAGAGAAGUUUCUAGCAGAAUAGGGUGGGAGCCAUUCAGAAAGGGCAUCUUUUCCCCACUCAAGAGGCAACACUUCCAGUUCCCCGAGGGCCCAGGAGCAGAAGAGGCACUUGCUCUCCCUCCUGGGGCUUAAGGCACAUUCAAUUGUCUUCACUCUCUCCCAGUUCCCUUCCUGCCUCGAUUAGCUUUUGAGGGAAAGCAACCUCACAGGUGACAGGAGUCAGUGACUUUGUUGGAAAAGCCACCCCCCAUCCCCAAGCUUGCGGGAAAUUCUUAGCUCAACAUCUUACAGCAUCAAUGGGGCUCUACAUCCGUACUGAUAAAAAUGGGGAGCAAAAACCUUCCUCACUUUUACUCCUUCUCCUCUCCCAGAUAAAUUUCUCCCAAGAGAAACUAGAUACUAAACUAGAAACUAGAAAAAAAUAAACCUUCAACAAGCAAAUGAUCCUGCCCAGGAGAAAGGGUUCUGGAUUAUGUUUUCUGCUUCUCUGACCUUGGCAGGGUCUGGUUUAAACAAGCCCCUGUGGCGUAUUGUCUGGAUAGGAUGCACUCUGUCUGUUGUGUGGCCUUCCAGGCCCAGCUCCUCACAGUGGGUUUAACACCUCCAAUCCUCAGGCUGCCUGCAAAUGUGUCAUCCAGUCCAGCGUGUGAAAAUACAGAGAUUAUUGCCUGGGGUCGGGGGCAGGGGGCGCUCCACAGCUCUGGACAACCCUGAUUCCACCCAAUUCUAGAAAUAAAGAUUUGGUUUGUGCUCAGACUGGUCCUGCUGUCCUGGCUGUGGACAGGCUGGGUUGGCAGCUGAGAGUCAGAAGUCAGACAGAUGGAAGUAUCACGUGGGUCAGACAGGCUGGCAGGAGGCCCACCCAGUACUGUCCUUCUGGAAAGGCACUGGCCUCAGCCAGGAGGCAAUCUUCUUUCUUCCCAGGCCUGCAGUUUCAUGAGUGAUGAAAUCUGCUAUCAGGGGAGAACUCAUUUUUUUGACUGUGAGAAAUCCUGCAGUGACAGUCUCCAUCCACGGCGCUGGGGUGAGGGACGUGGGUACUGCAGCUGGAGAGAGCUGGGCGUGAGCCUGACUUUGCUGCUGCUCACUUGCUGUGUGACUUGGGGAAGGUCGCUUAAGCUCUCCAAGCCUGUUGCGUCUUCGGCAAACCUAGAACCUAGCAUCUGUCCUCCUAUCAGUGUUGUAAGGAUUGAAAGAAAUGAAGCAUGCAAAAUCCUGAGCACGGGGCCUGCCCAGAGUAACUGCUGAGUAAACAGGUCCUGUUAUAAUUGCAAUAGGAUCAUUCAUUCCUCCAGGGCACAAACCACUCCUUCUGUGUCCUUCAUGGUGCCUACAAGAUGCCGGCCACAGGGCAGCCCAUCAAGGAGCCCUCUUUGGCUAAACACUCCCACUAUCUGGAUCUAGUUAGCUGUAGGUACUUCAAAAGGAACAUUUAAUAACACCCUUCCUUGUCUGGUUUAGUUCUGAAAUGGAAAGCAAAUUAGCCACCAAGCCAUUCAGGAUUCUGAAAACAUGUGGUUUCUAAUAUUAUCACACCUUCCAUUUGCAUCUGCAGCCGAUUAAAAACAAGGCUCUGAGAGAUGAACGUGUCUAUAAUACUUGACAACGCACAGCUCAGACCAAACGUUCCCACUAAAACUUGAAGCAUGUCAAAGUGGCAUCAAGUUGGAGACAUACCGAAGAAGAGAAAGGGCGCUUCAAUUCAUCUGGCAUGAUUUAAGAGACCAUUAAGGCAGAAAGAAG
rnacentral:lncRNA from 1 species